rnacentral:lncRNA from 1 species
CAAAAAGAAAUUAAAUGAUACAAUUUUAAAAUGAACAGUAGUAUAGACUUACAUUAAACAGCGUACAAGGACUCAUUGUCCGAUUGUAGAGGCGGUGCCCACGGAAGCUUGAAGUUGUUGGCGCGUACUCAUGAGACCUCAGUCCAACCGGUGGUGGUACAAUCUAUUUUCCUGUUCCAAUUCACACAUAUGGACGGCUUCAAUAGCGUACAAGGACUCAUUGUCCGAUUGUAGAGGCGGUGCCCACGGAAGCUUGAAGUUGUUGGCGCGUACUCAUGAGACCUCAGUCCAACCGGUGGUGGUACAAUCUAUUUUCCUGUUCCAAUUCACACAUAUGGACGGCUUCAAUAAUCAGUUCAAUAAAUUGCUUCUCUCGUCCCAUUUCCAGAAUUUUAAUCGGUAUUGUCAGCCGCAAAUUCAAUGCAUAGCAAGCAGUAAAAUCUGAUGACAAGCUGAUGAUUGUGUAUUGGAUAUUAUAAGUGUGGUGUCGCAGCAGUUUAAGCAGACAUAAAGAAAGAGGCUCGAACUGGAAAAUGUUUGGAGUUAUGGGUUGUGUCCAAUUGAUGGUGAGGUUCUGCCGGUGGCGACGGGUGAGGCGGGAGCGACAGUAGGAGCGGCAACGGUGCCUGGAAAGAGAUGAAGUUGGAGACCGGGUGUGCUGUUGUCGAAGUGGCAGAGAGGUGUUAGUAGCGGCGAGUGAGAGAUGCACCGCUGAUGUCGGUGGUGCUGGAGAGUGGUGUCGUCGGCGUGGGGGAGGGACGUUGGUGGGAGUAGCUAAUGGGUCCGGUUGACGACGUACAGGCACGGGGACGCUUAAUAUUGUCGAGUGAUU